rnacentral:rRNA from 1 species
AUUACGGGGCGCAGCAGGCGCGAAAACUUUACAAUGCUGGCAACAGCGAUAAGGGAACCUCGAGUGCCAGGUUACAAAUCUGGCUGUCGAGAUGCCUAAAAAGCAUUUCAUAGCAAGGGCCGGGCAAGACCGGUGCCAGCCGCCGCGGUAACACCGGCGGCUCGAGUGGUAACCGUUAUUAUUGGGUCUAAAGGGUCUGUAGCCGGCCGGAUAAGUCUCUUGAGAAAUCUGGCAGCUUAACUGUCAGGCUUUCAGGAGAUACUGUCUGGCUCGAGGCCGGGAGAGGUGAGAGGUACUUCAGGGGUAGGGGUGAAAUCUUGUAAUCCUUGAAGGACCACCAGUGGCGAAGGCGUCUCACCAGAACGGACCUGACGGCAAGGGACGAAAGCUAGGGGCACGAACCGGAUUAGAUACCCGGGUAGUCCUAGCCGUAAACGAUACUCGCUAGGUGUCGGCCACGGUGCGACCGUUGUCGGUGCCGUAGGGAAGCCGUGAAGCGAGCCACCUGGGAAGUACGGCCGCAAGGCUGAAACUUAAAGGAAUUGGCGGGGGAGCACAAU